GGACGAUCGCUGGCGGCGUGCCUNAUANAUGCAANUCGAGCGGGGAGGUUUGCGGAAGCCCUUCGGGGUGGAAGCGGACGUCCCAGCGGCGGACGGGUGAGUAACGCGUAGGGAACCUGCCCUCAAGUCUGGGAUAACCCGGGGGAAACCCGGGCUAAUACCGGAUGANGCCACGAGGCCGCAUGGCCUUGUGGUNAAAGGGGAAACCCGCUUGAGGAUGGCCCUGCGUCCCAUUAGCUAGUUAGUAGGGUAACAGCCUACCAAGGCGACGAUGGGUAGCCGGCCUGAGAGGGUGGACGGCCACACUGGCACUAAGACACGGGCCAGACUCCUACCGGAGGCUCCAGUACGGAAUCUUGCGCAAUGGGCGAAAGCCUGACGCAGCGACACCACGUGGGGGAAGAAGGCCUUCGGGUCGUAAACCCCUGUCNGAGGGGACGAANGACGUNACGGUNCCCUCCAAGGAAGCCCCGGCUAACUAC
rnacentral:rRNA from 1 species